UACGGAGGGUGCAAGCGUUAUCCGGAUUCACUGGGUUUAAAGGGUGCGUAGGAGGGCAGGGUAAGUCAGUGGUGAAAUCUUCGAGCUUAACUCGGAAACUGCCGUUGAUACUAUCUGUCUUGAAUACCGUGGAGGUGAGCGGAAUAUGUCAUGUAGCGGUGAAAUGCUUAGAUAUGACAUAGAACACCAAUUGCGAAGGCAGCUCGCUACACGAAUAUUGACUCUGAGGCACGAAAGCGUGGGGAUCAAACAGG
rnacentral:rRNA from 1 species